GUGUGAGGUGUAGGGUGGGUUCUAGGGUUUCAACUUUAGAUUUUGUGAGUAGAAAAAUAUAAGAGUCAGUCUUGUUCAAUCUCCCACACUACCAUCUCUUUGUAAAAUUUUAUCUUUUGAUCCGAAGAAGUUUGGGAGAUCUGAAGAAAGGAGCUUGGAUCAGCCAUCCAGAGCCUUCGAUGCGAGCUAGCACUUCCGUGAAGGAAGAUUCGAUUAGAACUUCGAGUGGAUGAUUUGUAGAGGCCGAAUGACCUGUGCGACUGCUCGACAUCAACGAGAGCUUCGUACCAUACCU
rnacentral:lncRNA from 1 species